CAGUCGCCGCGGGAAUACGUAGGGUGCAAGCGUUAAUCGGAAUUACUGGGCGUAAAGCGUGCGCAGGCGGUUUUGUAAGUCUGUCGUGAAAUCCCCGGGCUCAACCUGGGAAUGGCGAUGGAGACUGCAAGGCUAGAAUCUGGCAGAGGGGGGUAGAAUUCCACGUGUAGCAGUGAAAUGCGUAGAUAUGUGGAGGAACACCGAUGGCGAAGGCAGCCCCCUGGGCUAAGAUUGACGCUCAUGCACGAAAGCGUGGGGAGCAAACAGGAUUAGAUACCCCCGUAGUCCCUGUCUCUUAUAC
rnacentral:rRNA from 1 species